UUCAUUCUUCACUUUCCUUUUAUUUACUCAUCCACCUACUUGCUAUACUAACUACUUGUUAACAUACUAUCUUAUUCAUAAAUUGACCAAGUCAUGAAAACUUGCUAACUUUUCUUUUGUCAUCUUGUUCCUUGCCAUUUCAUUUCAUUUGCAUGCUUAUCUAUUUGUUUAUUUUCUUUUUUAGAAAGUAAAAAGGGGGAGGUGUGCUUUCCCUCAUAAAGUUUUAUUAAUGAUAAUUUAGUAUGGUGGACAGAUGGUAUUGGUGGAGAUCUUAGAGUAGAAGAUAGG
rnacentral:lncRNA from 1 species